rnacentral:misc_RNA from 1 species
ACACCUCAACUCUCAUGGUUUGCCAUGAUGAGCUUGGACUUUGGGGGUCUUGCUGGCCUAUGGUCAGCUCCUCUCAAAUGAAUCAGCUUGCCAGUGUUUGGUGGCAUCACGGGUGUGAUAACUAUCUACGCCUGUUGCUUUCCAUCAGAUAACCUUCAGUGAUGAAGGUUCGCUGGGGCUCAUAAAUGUCUCUCCUCAGUGGAGAUGGCCCUUUUGAAU